rnacentral:tRNA from 1 species
GGGCAGAUAGCUCAGUGGUAGAGCUCUGGACUGAAAAUCCAGGAGUCCCGGGUUCGACCCCCGGUCUGCCCA